UACAGAGGUGGCGAGCGUUGUUCGGAUUUACUGGGCGUAAAGGGCGCGUAGGCGGUUUCGUGUGUCGGAUGUGAAAUCCCACCGCUCAACGGUGGAACUGCAUUCGAAACUGCGGAACUUGAGUACAGGAGAGGAGAGCGGAAUUCUUGGUGUAGCAGUGAAAUGCGUUGAUAUCAAGAGGAACGCCAGUGGCGAAGGCGGCUCUCUGGAAUGCUACUGACGCUGAGGCACGAAAGUUGGGGGAG
rnacentral:rRNA from 1 species